UUUUAGGGGUGCUUGCAAAAGUGCAGGCUGAGAUUAUACCCUCUGAACCUGAUCCGGUUAAUACCGGCGUAGUGAAAA
rnacentral:ncRNA from 1 species